GUCUACAACCAUACCACUCUGAAUGUGCCUGAUCUCGUCUGAUCUCAGAAGCUAAGCAGGGUCAGGCCUAGUUAUUACUUGGAUGGGAGAAAAUACUCAAAGGAAACAUGAUAUUUUGCUGUAGGGC
rnacentral:rRNA from 1 species